rnacentral:lncRNA from 1 species
ACUAUUCUAAGGUGGACAGACGGACAAAGAUAUUUUCCUUGUUGUCUCAAGACAGGGUUGUUUCUGGAUGUGAACCUGGCUGUUCUGGAACUCAUUCUGUGGACGAGUCUGACCUUAGACUCAGAUAUCUUUCUGCCUCUCCAUCCAGAGCACCAGGAUUAAAGGUGUGCACCACCACUUCUGACUGGGUCUUGAAGCACAGCUCGAAUGGUCAGACUGCAGGUGUUGCCUCCUGAGGAUUUCCAUCUGAAGACAAGAAUUCCAGUCAGAACCUUCUGCUCCACUGCGACCUCCUCCCAGUCAGCCACCUCUGCUGAGUGCUGUGCACCCUGCAGCCACAGGCUGAGCUACCAGGCUUAGAGCCUCAGCAAAUGCAUUUUGGAGAGACUCGGUUCAACAUUUAAGAGGAAGUGGACGUCCCCUUUUUGAAUUGGUGGAGGUUAAAGAAAGACAGGCACCUAUCUACGGUGUGACGUGGGCUUCCUUUCCGGGAGACGCCUCUAAUCCUAGACCAUAGCUGGAGCUAGAGCGUGUGUCUGGGCACACUCCUCCACAGGUAUGAAUGAGUCUCUGAGUGUGCCCUGUUUAACAGAGCUAACUUAACCAUAGCUUCCCUUAAAUCGCGUCAAGAUACUUCCGCCCGUUUAUGAUCACUCGGUAACAAGUACCGUCUGGAGGGGCGGAAACUGGAGUUCCUGGGUUCUUGUGGCCCCACACAAUGAACAGAGACAUGAGGGUGGUUACAGGAGAG